rnacentral:piRNA from 1 species
UGGAGUUACAGGUGGUUGUGAGCUGGU